UACGUAGGGGGCAAGCGUUAUCCGGAUUUACUGGGUGUAAAGGGAGCGUAGACGGCGGUGCAAGCCAGAUGUGAAAGCCCGGGGCUCAACCCCUGAACUGCUUUGGAAACUGCCAUGCUAGAGUGCUGGAGAGGUAAGUGGAAUUCCUAGUGUAGCGGUGAAAUGCGUAGAUAUUAGGAGGAACACCAGUGGCGAAGGCGGCUUACUGGACAGUAACUGACGUUGAGGCUCGAAAGCGUGGGGAGCAAACAGG
rnacentral:rRNA from 1 species